ACGAACGCUGGCGGCGUGGAUAAGACAUGCAAGUCGGACGCUGAUUAGAGGGUAGCAAUAUUCUCUAGUCGGAGUGGCGCAAGGGUGCGUAACACGUGGGUAAUCUGCCGUGAAGUUUGGGAUAACUCGCUGAAAGGCGAGCUAAUACCGGAUGUGGAUGUUGGGGAGCAUUUUCUGGCAUCUAAAGCUGGGGACCGUAACAGGCCUGGCGCUUCAUGAUGAGCCCGCGGCCUAUCAGCUAGUUGGUAAGGUAACGGCUUACCAAGGCUAAGACGGGUAGCUGGUCUGAGAGGACGACCAGCCACACUGGAACUGAGACACGGUCCAGACACCUACGGGUGGCAGCAGUCGAGAAUUUUUCACAAUGGGCGCAAGCCUGAUGGAGCGACGCCGCGUGGGGGAUGAAGGGUUUCGAUCCGUAAACCCCUGUCAUUUGCGAACAAACCUUGUGCAAUAACACUGCACGAGCUGAUUGUAGUGAAAGAGGAAGGGACGGCUAACUCUGUGCCAGCAGCCGCGGUAAUACAGAGGUCCCAAGCGUUGUUCGGAUUCACUGGGCGUAAAGGGUGCGUAGGUGGCCAGGUAAGUUUGGUGUGAAAGCUCGGAGCUUAACUCCGAAAAGUCAUUGAAUACUAUCUGGCUGGAGGGUCGGAGGGGAGACUGGAAUUCUCGGUGUAGCAGUGAAAUGCGUAGACAUCGAGAGGAACACCAGUGGCGAAGGCGAGUCUCUGGACGACUCCUGACACUGAGGCACGAAAGCUAGGGGAGCAAACAGGAUUAGAUACCCUGGUAGUCCUAGCUGUAAACGGUGCACGUUUGCUGUGAGAGGAAUCGACCCCUUUCGUGGCGAAGCUAACGCGCUAAACGUGCCGCCUGGGGAGUACGGUCGCAAGAUUAAAACUCAAAGAAAUUGACGGGGGCCUGUACAAGCGGUGGAGUAUGUGGCUUAAUUCGAUGCAACGCGAAGAACCUUACCUGGCCUUGACAUGCACGUAGUAGGAGUGUGAAAGCAUAACGACCUCGCAAGAGGAGCGUGCACAGGUGCUGCAUGGCUGUCGUCAGCUCGUGUCGUGAGAUGUUGGGCUAAGUCCCGCAACGAGCGCAACCCUUGUGUCCUGUUGCCACCCUAACGAGAGUUGGGAGCACUCUGGACAGACCUGCCUCGAUAACGAGGAGGAAGGUGGGGAUGACGUCAAGUCCUCGAUGGCCUUAUGGCCAGGGCUGACACACGUACUACAAUGGCCGGUACAAACCGGACUGCAAGACCGCUAGGUGGAGCUAAUCCAAAAACCGGGCCUCAGUUCAGAUUGUAGGCUGCAACUCGACGCCAUGAAGUUGGAAUCGCUAGUAAUGCGCAGAUCAGCUACGGCUGCGGUGAAUACGUUCCCAGGCCUUGUACAGCACCGCCCGUCACAUCACUGAAAGUGGGUUGUCACUAGAAGUCGUCGCGCUAACUCGCAAGAGGGACAGCCGCCGAAGGUAUGGCUGGUGAUUGGGAUG
rnacentral:rRNA from 1 species